rnacentral:tRNA from 1 species
GGAAGCGGAUGGGGCGCUGGUGGCCCCCCCGGGCUUCAAACCCGGUUGGGAGGCGUCUUGAGGCGUCUCCGGUGGGUUCGAUUCCCGCACGCUUCCGCCA